CCUGCCCUGCCCUAGAGUUAGUCUCUGCCUGACUCUGGCUUGCUCAACAAAUCCUGCCCUAUGCACCCUCCACUCCAGCCCUAUGCGACCAGAAAGUGAAGCGCCUCGUGCCUGGCUUCCGAGUUAUGGGACCGUCUCACCCAGAGCAAAGUGAAGGAGGAAGGGCAGAAGGAUGACGGAGGGUUAAAGAUGAGUAAACCAGAUUUACCUGGGGCCAGAACCCAAUCGCCCUAUGGCCACACCAAGAAGGAUGACCGUCUCCUGCAUCAUUAAGGGGGUAAGCUGUGAAUCUGGAAUAACAGCCCUUGGCCGGGCUCUGAGAUAACACUGUAAGUAUAAUACAAAUUCAUUCAACGAACUCGUUGAACAUCUACUGUGUGCCAGGCACUGCGGUAGAAGAUGGGAGUAAACCAUGAGUAAGACAUAGUCUCUGCCCUCAGAGGUCCCACAGAGCAGUGAGGGGAACAGACAAGAAAAGACACCGACACCUUGACACCUAUGCCUAUAACAAUGAGGGCUCCCUCAGUACCAGGUACGUGCCUGAAGGUGUCCACUUAUUAUUUCACAUGGUACUGAAAUUGACCUGGGGAGGCGGGUAAUAUUAUUCUCAUUUAAUAGAUAAAAGAGGUGAGGCUAAGAGAAUUUUACUUGCCCAAGAUCACACAACUCGGCUGGUGGCAGAAUAAAGAUGUGGACUUGGCCUUGCCUGGCUCCAGCUGUGAUCUGGCUAUCCCCCUCAUGGUUUGUUAGAAACAUGUCUUGGUUCUUCUUCCCUGCCUUGCCCCUGCUGCAGAAACUCUUGGUCUGCCCGCUGUACAACGUGGUUCCCCAGGAUGCAAUCUACCUCCUUCGAACAGGGAGAGCAGAGGCUUUGGCUUGUCACAAGAGCUAGAUGUGCUUUAGCGUUUUCAGGGCCCCUGCCCUCAAGGAGCCUACAGUCUAGGAGAAAAGAUUUGAUGCAUACAAAUAUCCAGGUUAUAAGAAUGACGAAUCUAUGAGCUGUUUUAUAUUUUUAAGACAGUCUCAGCCUGACAACAGACAGUUGUCUCCCCUGACAACACUUUUGCAAUCUCCAUAAUGGAUUCCCUACAUUGCAUUAUAUUUAUAUUCUACACUUGUAGUUGUGAAGCCCUUCAAAGCUCUGACUUUGAUAUGAUCUCACAUCUUGUAUAUUUCUCAAAUCUAGCAUCCUUAUUCCUGGGGCAGAUAUCACUGCCCUCUUAUUUCUUGCCUAGGUUCUCACCACAGCCUUUUUACAGCCCCCUCCCUCAAAUCUCUCCAUUCUUCACAUUGUAGUCAGAGUGAUCUUGAACUGCCAAUUUUGGGUGGAUCCCUUGCUUAAAACCCUCGAUGGCACACCACAACCCCCAGGAUGAAUCCAAGCUUCUAAGCCUGGUAUUCCAGACUCUCCCAUUAUGUCUUGCACAUUCUGUGCUUUAGCAACAUUCUCUGCCCUGGCAAGAGGGGGCUGCUUACAAUCUCCUUCUACGCACUCUGCUGUUCCCCAGCUCUGGGCCCAUGUC